UACGAAGGGGGCGAGCGUUGUUCGGAUUUACUUGGCGGAAAGGGCGCGUAGGCGGUGUGUCAAGUCAGGCGUGAAAGCCCCGGGCUCAACCUGGGAACCGCGCUUGAGACUGGCACGCUAGAGUUCGGGAGAGGAUGGUGGAAUUCCCAGUGUAGAGGUGAAAUUCGUAGAUAUUGGGAAGAACACCGAUGGCGAAGGCAGCCAUCUGGACCGACACUGACGCUGAGGCGCGAAAGCGUGGGGAGCAAACAGG
rnacentral:rRNA from 1 species